AUGUUGUAUAUAAUGAGAAAGGAUGCGUUCCAAUCUGUGGUGAGAUUCAGACAGUUCGCACCAGUUUGGGAGAACCGGUUGUUAACUUGCUGAGCAGUUCGGUGAACUGGUUGCUGGAAGAAAUCAUUAGGGCAGAGAACCGGUUGUGAAAUUAUUUGAAUCCCACCACUGAUUAAAA